rnacentral:rRNA from 1 species
ACGAACGCUGGCGGCGUGCUUCACACAUGCAAGUCGAACGGAAAGGCCCUGCUUUUGUGGGGUGCUCGAGUGGCGAACGGGUGAGUAACACGUGAGUAACCUGCCCUUGACUUUGGGAUAACUUCAGGAAACUGGGGCUAAUACCGGAUAGGAGCUCCUGCUGCCUGGUGGGGGUUGGAAAGUUUCGGCGGUUGGGGAUGGACUCGCGGCUUAUCAGCUUGUUGGUGGGGUAGUGGCUUACCAAGGCUUUGACGGGUAGCCGGCCUGAGAGGGUGACCGGCCACAUGGGGACUGAGAUACGGCCCAGACUCCUACGGGAGGCAGCAGUGGGGAAUAUUGCACAAUGGGCGGAAGCCUGAUGCAGCAACGCCGCGUGCGGGAUGACGGCCUUCGGGUUGUAAACCGCUUUCGCCUGUGACGAAGCGUGAGUGACGGUAAUGGGUAAAGAAGCACCGGCUAACUACGUG